GAGCACCGACUUCCAAGUUCUCAUUAAUGAAUGGAUGGAUGAGUCGCUCAGGAAUGAUGCCUUUAUUAUGGAAAUCGUCAGACCAUGUGGUCUUCUUCUGGAAGCAUCAAAUGGGCAUUCUAAACUCAGGUUCUUGGAAUUGAAACAUCAGUAACAAGAACCAUCACGCUUAAAGCAUAGAUGGAGGGCACCUGCUGUCUUUACAAUCCCACGUGGUCUUUGAUGAGUCCAGGUCCCGCUCCUGGCCCCCUCAUCCCAUGGUUCAGGUCCCUUUUGCUAUCCCUAUUACUACUUUCAGACACCUCACUUUCUACUUGGGAAAGGCACCCCCAUAUCUAAUCAGGCAAGUUUAGAGGAGACUGAGACAGUCCCAGGUAGCUGACCAGGGCUUAGGUAACCACACUUUAAAUAAUUUGGGGGCUGAUUUGGAGGCAAGUAGUCUGAAAGACCCCUCGGAGUG
rnacentral:lncRNA from 1 species